rnacentral:ncRNA from 2 species
ACACUCGAUAGAGGCGCGGGCAAGAAGGCUCGCGGGGCAGCCGGCAGGCGUCACGACCCCGCGGGGAGGCGAGCCCGCCGAACUCCGCUCCCGGGCACGGGCGCGGGGUGGGCCUGCGGGGAAGACCCGCAGGACUGUCUGCAAGCAACUGCAGGAGCGCUAUCAGGGAG